UCUGCAAACAAAACCAUUUCAUUGAAUUCAUUCAUUCAUGUUCGAAUGUUGAACAAUCCAAUUCCACUCCUCAGUCCUCACCAUCUAUCUAUCAAUCUCUUCUUUCCACCCCACAUAACAAUUCAUUUACAAAUACAUGUCACUGUCACAUUCCACUUCUUCCAACCACUACUGUGCAUUGCUCAAACUUUUCUGCCAAAACCGCAAUAUCACAAACGCAAAAAAGCUCCAUUGUCACAUUAUCAAAUCCAUUCCAAACCCAGAAACCUUUCUCUUAAACAAUUUCAUCAGCUCCUAUGCAAAUCUCGGCUCAAUUACCUAUGCCCGCAGGGUGUUCGAUCAAAUGCCUCACCCAACUCUCUACUCUUGGAACACCAUUCUUUCUGCUUACUCUAAACUGGGUCGUUUUCAUGAGAUGGAAUACAUGUUUGAUGCAAUGCCAAUACGAGAUGGGGUGUCGUGGAAUUCACUUAUUUCGGGAUAUGCUGCUUGUGGUUCUAUUUAUCGAUCUGUAAAGGCUUAUAAUUUGAUGUUGAGUGAAGGGUCGUUUAAUUUGAAUCGAGUUACGUUCUCAACUUUGCUUAUACUUGCAUCGAAACAUGGUUGUGUUCAAUUGGGUAGGCAGAUUCAUGGACAUGUUGUGAAGUUUGGUUUCAUGUCGUAUGUUUUUGUUGGGAGUCCUUUGGUGGAUAUGUAUUCAAAGAUGGGAAUGAUAUCUUGUGCAAGGCAGGCUUUUGAUGAGUUGCCUGAGAAGAAUGUGGUUAUGUAUAAUACGUUGAUAACGGGAUUGAUGCGGUGCGGUAGGCUUGAAGAUUCCAAGCGAUUGUUUCUAGAUAUGCGAGAAAGGGAUUCGAUUUCUUGGACAUCGAUGAUUACCGGGUUUACUCAGAAUGGAUUGGACAGAGAUGCAAUUGAUUUUUUCAGAGAGAUGACACUGGAAAAUCUACAGAUGGAUCAGUAUACGUUUGGAAGUGUUUUAACUGCUUGUGGGGGUGUUAUGGCUUUGCAAGAAGGCAAGCAAGUUCAUGCUUAUAUCAUUAGGACAGAUUAUAAGGAUAAUAUAUUUGUCUCCAGCGCUCUUGUUGACAUGUAUUGCAAGUGUAAGAAAAUAAAAUCAGCAGAAACUGUUUUCAAGAAGAUGACUUGCAAGAACGUUGUCUCUUGGACUGCAAUGUUAGUGGGUUAUGGACAAAAUGGCCAUAGUGAAGAAGCUGUUAAAACCUUUAGUGAUAUGCAAAAAUAUGGGAUUGAGCCAGAUGAUUUCACCUUCGGAAGUGUAAUUAGCUCAUGUGCAAACCUUGCAAGCAUAGAAGAGGGUGCUCAGUUCCAUGCCAGAGCUCUCAUUUCUGGCCUAAUUUCAUUUAUUACUGUUUCCAAUGCUCUGGUUACAUUGUAUGGUAAAUGUGGAAGCAUUGAAGACUCACAUAGACUUUUUAGUGAGAUGAGGUUCAAGGAUGAAGUCACAUGGACUGCACUUGUUUCUGGCUAUGCUAAGUUUGGUAAAGCCAAUGAAACAAUCAGGUUAUUUGAAAGCAUGUUAGCGUAUGGUUUAAAACCUGACAAGGUUACAUUUAUCGGGGUUCUUUCAGCUUGUAGUAGAGCAGGUUUAGUGGAAAAAGGAAAUCAGAUAUUCGAAUCGAUGAUUAUGGAACAUAGGAUUGUACCAAUUCAAGAUCAUUACACUUGCAUGAUUGAUCUCUUCAGUCGAGCUGGGCGGUUAGAAGAAGCGAGGAAUUUUAUAAAUAAGAUGCCUUUCAGGCCUGAUGCAAUUGGUUGGUCAACGUUGUUAAGUUCGUGUAGAUUCUACGGGAACAUGGACAUUGGCAAGUGGGCAGCCGAGUUUCUUAUGGAAUUAGACCCACAUAACACUGCUAGCUACGUCUUACUUUCAAGUGUAUACGCUGCUAAAGGAAAAUGGGAGGAAGUUGCUGGAUUAAGAAAAGAUAUGAGAGAUAAGGGUCUGAGAAAGGAACCGGGAUGUAGCUGGAUCAAAUAUAACAACCAAGUGCAUGUUUUCUCUGCCGAUGAUAAGUCACAUCCAUUUUCAGAUCAGAUAUAUUCUGAGCUUGAAAAGUUGAACUACAAAAUGAUAAAAGAGGGUUAUGUGCCUGAUAUGAAUUCUGUUCUGCAUGAUGUUGAGGAUUCAGAGAAAAUUAAGAUGCUUAAUCACCAUAGUGAAAAGCUUGCAAUUGCCUUUGGGUUGUUAUUUAUUCCUCCUGGUUUGCCCAUACGAAUAGUUAAAAAUCUGAGGGUUUGUGGGGAUUGCCACAAUGCAACUAAAUAUAUAUCUAAGGUCACCCAGAGAGAGAUUCUUGUAAGAGACACAGCCCGGUUCCAUUUGUUUAAAGAUGGAAUGUGUUCAUGUGGAGACUUUUGGUGAUUGUGUAUUGAAGUCAUUGCACAUGAGGUAGCCUCUAUUUUCUUUUGUAUUUAUUAAACUUCUUCACCAUCCCCCAUUAAUUAUUUAUUUCUCUUAGAUUUAUUAAACUUUCUUUAUAAACACUUUUCGAGGCCUUAUCUCUAGUCAAUGUGGUACUUGAGUUUUUCCAAUAAGCCCCCUAACCCCAACACUAUUGGGCUUUUUGCUUGAAAAUAUAGUAUAGGCUAUGAUGCCAUCUUAAAUUUGAGUUUAACCCCACAUAACCGGCUUUAAGGUGGGUGGUACUGAUUCUCUAUAGACUUCUUUUUUAGAUCUUAUCUCUAAUCAAUUUUUUCAACUAUCAAGUGCAUCUUUGGAGAUAAUGAUUUUUUUUUUCUCUCUAAAUAAGACAAUAUUUCAUAUUCAAUUACUGUUUCCCUAAACGAAUCUGUAUCUUAAUAAAUUCAUUACAUUCUAUAGGUAUAUAUAUAGCUCGUUUGGCCUGGCUUUUUUUAGCUUUUUAUUCUCUUUAAAAUGAGAAGUUGGGCCAAACACUUUUUUAAUAAAGCUCUUAAUUAUAAAAAGCAAUUUUCUUUUUCAAUGUGGAAAAUUGAAUAAAAUAAGCUAGCUUAAAACCUACUUUUAAAAAAAUAUUCGGAGCUUUUUUUUGUACAUACUUAUCUUUUAUUUUAAAAAUAUUUAUUUAUUUAUACGCUUGAUUGUCAAAAAAAAUAAAUUAAGUUUUUAAAAAUAUAUUUUACCAAACAACUUUUAGCUUAAAAAUAGCUUUGAAGCUAAAAAAACAACAACCACCAAACAACUUUAGCUUUUUUCUAGAAAGCUAUUAUUUUCACUUUUAGCUUUCGGAUUGCUUAUAAGACCUAAAAAAGUCAGGCCAAACGGACCCAUAGUUUAGUUUACUACUUUCUAACAGAAAGCAGAUAGAAAAACUAAAAUUUUAGUCUAUUUCAUCAAUUUAAAUUGAAAUUCAAUUAGUGUUGAUCCAUUUAGGCUGCAUGAGCAACUGGUAACUUCUAUAUUAUACAAAGUUGUACAAUGAUUGUAGUGGAGAUGAAAUCAUUUCAAGGAACAGAAUUGUAGUGAAUACACGUGUGUGCAAUGUAUGCAAUCACUGUUUCCUUUCAAGGCUGCUCAAGUUCACCUUGACCUGGCUGUUGUUUCUGCAUAAGAUUCAGAAGAUUUAGUUAAAGACUGUCAAAUAAAGUGGAGCGAUAAUCAUAUGGGACAAAAAAUCACAAGAACAAUAACCUGCAACUGGGUACAAAUUUCGAUUACUUCGGCUAGAGGUGCCCAAUCACCAAAGUUCAUCUCAAUAAACUGGCUUACUUGUCUGAACUCAUGCAUACCGAUGUCUUACAACUCACAAGGACACACAUGCAACACAAUGACGGAAAUUACAGAGUAAUGUAAGAAUUUACCCUGGUCGCCGGAGACAAAGGAAAAUAGCUGGUUUGUCUCGCCACAGUUCUCCUGCUUUCAUCGGAGGUGUCUUCAUUUUCAUCAAUGGUUCCAUGCCAAUCUUAUACUCUGGAGUUAGUUUCUGAACUGAGAUAUUUUCAAUAGCAGCAUAAGGAGCAAUUUGGUCGCUGAUUGGGGGAGGUUGCACACAGCCACACACUCUAGGCUCAACUGGCUCAGAAGCCACAAUCCCUUUAAAACUGUACCCGUCUUUAAUCUUUAGCUCAGUAAGUGAUUGUUCAAAUGAUCUAUCAGAGGUUGCAUUACUUCUAAUUUGCAUUCUCAUCAUACUGUUGGAACCGUUUGAUGCAAGAUUCUUUGGGAUGCUUUCAUGUCUAUACAUCAUGCUGCUUCUUCUCCUAGCCAUCAUUGCACGUAACUUAAAGGAAUCGUCACAUUUUGUUCUGUCUAUGAAACGGGCAAUAUGGCCUCUCUUCAUGUCAAACUGAGCAGAAAGGUCCAUAGUACUUAAACUUAAAAGCUCUGGCAGACCUUUUCCAGUGGCCUCUAGCUUAUCUGCAUAUUGCAUCAGUCCACGAUCGUGUAGGUAUGACCUUAUUCCAAUCGAGUCCUAUGCAAUAAGAAAAUAAAGACUUAGAAACAUUAAUAUUAUAGUUGAUAUUACUUACCUUACACUCUACAGUGAGUGUUUAGAGGAGACAGAUCGGAUUGGAGUUAUUAAACGAUAAAAGUUCUGUUCCGAAAGGGGCUAUAAUUGAAAAAUAGUAAUAGCAUACUUUGACAUAGGCAUGUUUCAAGUUUGAGGAAAGCUGACGAUUAGAAUAACCAACCUUUUGCCGUUGUGUCAUCUUUAUUGAAUUCAUAUCAUCCGAGUCCAUAACCUUCAGGGUUGGCACAUCAUCCCAACCUUCAUCCAACAACUUAGGGAGCAGCUCCUUCAAAACUCCAUUCCCUAUGAAUUCUUCUAUUGAAAAUGAAGCCAUUUUUUUUAUGACUUGGAUUGGUUUUUUUUUUUUUUUUUUUUUUUGAUAAUCUAUGACUUGGAUUGGUUGAUCUGAAUGAGUGAUAUUGUUAACAUAUAAAUGUGCUUUUUAAUGUACAUUUUGUAUGAUGCAAGUUAUGAUUUAAUAUAGCUUUGGUUUAA